CCCUUAGAUGUUCUGGGCCGCACGCGUGCUACACUGAGUGGAUCAGCGGGUCAGGUUGCGCGAAAGCGUUUCCUAAUCUUUAAAUCCGCUCGUGAUGGGGAUUGACGGUUGCAAUUUUCUGUCAUGAACGAGGAAUACCUUGUAAGCGCGGGUCAUCAUCCCGCGCUGAAUACGUCCCUGCCCUUUGUACACACCGCCCGUCGCUACUACCGAUUGAAUGGUUUAGUGAGAAUUUUGGACUGGAACUCCCUUGCUCAGCAAUGGGCGAGGGGGAGUCCGGGAAGCUAUUCUAACUGUAUCAUUUAGAGGAAGUAAAAGUCGUAACA
rnacentral:rRNA from 1 species